GAACGGCAUGAGAGCUCUGGGAAGAAUCUGGAUGGUUCCAUAGGGUUUUCCUUGACAUAAAGCGACUGGUUGAAAUGGACCAAAUUACUGCAUAGACAACAAUGCACAAGCCCUUUCUCAGGGAAAACCACAGUCUGGUGAGAGAGCGCAAGAUUGUGCAUGCAGUUAUGAGAUCUGCACAAAGAAGACGACAAUAAUACAACAGACGUGCGGUAAACAGUUGGCAGUAUCUCUGCUGAGAAAAAUGGGAGACUGAGUGAGAAAGAGAGACGGAGGGAGAAAAAUCGAGCUGCAGCAGUAUCCCUACACUGCUGAGGCUUGGACUGCGUGACUGC